GUAGCUCAGGGCUACUGGCUCUCAGAAGCAUCUGGGGGUGGAGCCUCUGGGAGGAAGUUGGCCACACUCCUUCCUGUCCCAGGCUACUGCUGCUGCUGUGGUUGGUUGCUACAAGCUUGGUCUCAGGAGCUUCUGGGGAGAAUAUGGCCAGGCCCUUUCCUGCCUCUGGCUCCUGCUAGCUGCUGGCUUGAUCUCAGAGCUUUUGAACUACCUCACUUCAUCUGAUCCUGAUUUGUCUUCCUGCCUACUGAUCUGCUGCUGAGUGACCAGCUGGAGGCCUGAGGGGUUUAUGGACAGAUUUCCCACAAACAAAGCCCCUCCACUGCUCCAGCCAUCUCUUACACCUGCCUCAGCAGUCUUCCCUGUGUUUUGUUUUUUUUUUGCUGUUGUGUGCUAAGUCCUGUGGUCCGCUCCCCCGACCUGGUGUUUGUUGUGUGACCAAGUUUUCCCAGCCCUUGUGUGCGUGGGUUUUUUUGGGGGGGGGGUUUCCCCUCUUUCCCCCCCCCCCCCAUUCUCAAAGCAUAGGCUUCCUGGUUUCUUGGGUGCUUUUUUUUUUUUCCCUGUGGGGCUGUGGUUCAGUGAGCUUCAGCCCCCUUCCUCCCUAUCCCCCUUGUGCCCCAAAAUCCCAGGCUGCCCCUACUAGAUUCACCAGCCCUGUGGGAUAUUUUGCAGUCAUGUGAAACAAUGGCAGAGUAGGAACCUUCUGGUGGGGCAGAUGCCCCCACAGAGGUUCCCAGAGCCCCUACUAUGGGGGUGGAUCCCAGCUAAGCUGCCAAGCAGAUGCAUGGCCUUGCAGCCUCCUCCCCAGAGGCAGAGUCCAGCCAACCUCCUCCAUGGGUGAAGAAACCUGCAACCUCUGCUGCAGGGGAAGGUGGGACUCCAUUAAGGAGCCAACAGGGCUAGGAGGUCACCCCUAGCCAGCACCCCUGCCUAGAGGGAUUCCCAAGCCCCCUCUCCCAUCAUCGGGGACCAAGGACAAGGCCAGUGGGAAGGGAUCCUCUUUAGCCUCACAGCUGGGGGUGGGAAGGGCAAGGGCCCUGCCCCCAAGCCUAGACUGCCAGAGCCUGAGGGGACCAGGCGCACUACAACAGCCAGCACACCCACUCAGCCUGUCCCUGGCCCUAGCUCAGGCCUCAUGAACAUGGCCUCCUAGGGGGAGAACUGCAG